UACGUAGGGUGCAAGCGUUAUCCGGAAUGAUUGGGCGUAAAGCGUCCGCAGGUGGCUAUGUAAGUCUGCUGUUAAAGAGUGAGGCUCAACCUCAUAAGAGCAGUGGAAACUACAUAGCUAGAGUGCGUUCGGGGCAGAGGGAAUUCCUGGUGUAGCGGUGAAAUGCGCAGAUAUCGGGAAGAACACCCGUGGCGAAGGCGGCUCUCUGGGACGGUACUGACGCUGAGACGCGAAAGCGUGGGGAGCGAACAGG
rnacentral:rRNA from 1 species